rnacentral:rRNA from 1 species
UACGUAGGGUGCAAGCGUUGUCCGGAAUUAUUGGGCGUAAAGAGCUCGUAGGCGGUUUGUCGCGUCUGCUGUGAAAACUCGGGGCUUAACUCCGGGCCUGCAGUGGGUACGGGCAGACUAGAGUGCGGUAGGGGAGACUGGAAUUCCUGGUGUAGCGGUGAAAUGCGCAGAUAUCAGGAGGAACACCGGUGGCGAAGGCGGGUCUCUGGGCCUUACCUGACGCUGAGGAGCGAAAGCGUGGGGAGCGAACAGG